rnacentral:lncRNA from 1 species
GUAGAGGAAUCUGCUUUCCAUACUUUCUUCCUUUCUGUAUGAAUCUCCAGGUAAUAGCUCUUCACCGGAACUAGGUCAACAGCAGCAUCACCGGACUGACCCGUACAAACUGCUUGUUACUUGACCGUGAGGCUACACCCCUGCCUUGGAUUUCCUCUUCAGGACUCCUGUUUGCUCCCAAGAGAUUGGGAAGAUACUAUGUAGAUACCCACAAGAGUCCCACUGGCUAGAAAACGAGGUAACAGAUCCUAUGUCAAUAAAUCCAGACAUUUG